UACGUAGGGUGCAAGCGUUGUCCGGAAUUAUUGGGCGUAAAGAGCUCGUAGGCGGCUUGUCGCGUCGGCUGUGAAAACCCGGGGCUCAACCCCGGGCCUGCAGUCGAUACGGGCAGGCGUAGAGUCCGGUAGGGGAGACGUGGAAUUCCUGGUGUAGCGGUGAAAUGCGCAGAUAUCAGGAGGAACACCGGUGGCGAAGGCGGGUCUCUGGGCCGGAACUGACGCUAAGGAGCGAAAGCGUGGGGAGCGAACAGG
rnacentral:rRNA from 1 species